GAUGAACGCUGGCGGCGUGCUUAACACAUGCAAGUCGAACGUGAGGGGGUACUUGUAUCCCUGAAAGUGGCGGACGGGUGCGUAACACGUAGGAACCUGCCCUGGAACGGGGGAUAACCACGGGAAACUGUGGCUAAUACCGCAUGUGCUUGUAGUGACGGGAGUGCUACAAGCAAAAUUCAGGUGUUCUGGGAGGGGCCUGCGGCCGAUUAGCUAGUUGGUGGGGUAAAGGCCUACCAAGGCGAUGAUCGGUAGCUGUUCUGAGAGGAAGACCAGCCACACGGGAACUGAGAAACGGUCCCGACUCCUACGGGGGGCAGCAGUGAGGAAUAUUGCACAAUGGGGGAAACCCUGAUGCAGCAACGCCGCGUGAAGGAUGAAGGCUUUUCGAGUUUGUAAACU
rnacentral:rRNA from 1 species